rnacentral:rRNA from 1 species
AUGAUGUGCAUGCGCCGCCAUGUGCAUGUCGUCGCCUUCGCCUUGGCGGUUGCCGGCGUGCUGACGACCCUCGCGGCCGAUAAGCCGGUGGUGGUAUGCGGCACAGCUGGUAACUACACGGCCAACAGCGCAUAUCAGGGCAAUCUCCGGCUCGUCGCCGCGGGCCUACCCACCAACAUCUCCACGUCCCCUGGCCUCUUCGCCACCGCCGAAAACGGCGCCGAGCCGGACAGGGCGUACGCCGUCGGGAUAUGCCGCGGCGACCAGGACGCCUCCGCCUGCCAAGCCUGCAUCGCCCCCACCUUCAAGGACGCGCAGGACCUGUGCCCCUACAACAGGGGCGCCACCAUCUUCUACGACACCUGCCUCCUCAGCUUCUCCGACCGAGACCUGCUCCUCUCGCCCACCAAUUCCAACGACGAGGUGAUGCGGCUCUACAAUGCUGGGAACAUCACCUCUGACGUCGUCAGCCAGUUCAACGCCGCCGUCUACAAGCUCCUCGACGCCAUGGUCGAGUACGUGGAAACCAUAGACUCGGUGAGGAGGUUCGCAACCGGGACCAUCGGCUUCGACGCGACCUACCCCAUUAUCUACAGCAUGGUGUGGUGCACGCCCGACCUGACGCAUGGGCAGUGCCGUGCUUGCCUUAGCGCCACGGUUGCCCAGAUGCCCUACACCUUCAUCCCUAAUACGCAGGGCGCCACCAUCACUGGGCUGCGAUGCAGCGUGCGCUACGAGGUACACCCGUUCUACAAGGGCGUCACCAUGCUGCAGCUGACGGGCACCUCGCCUGGUGUGUUAAUUCAUUCUUGGAUUUUUCCUUUCUGUUUUGCUAAUUAA